rnacentral:rRNA from 1 species
AGAGUUUGAUCCUGGCUCAGGAUUAACGCUAGCGGCAGGCCUAAUACAUGCAAGUUGAACGCUCGGGCAACCGAGAGUAGCGCACGGGUGCGUAACGCGUAUACAAUCUGCCCCUAUCAGGGAGAUAGCCCGGAGAAAUUCGGAUUAAUACCGCAUAAGAUGGUGGAAAGGCAUCUUUCAGCCAUUAAAGCUACGGCGGAUAGGGAUGAGUAUGCGUCUGAUUAGUUAGUUGGUGGUGUAACGGACCACCAAGACGAUGAUCAGUAGGGGUUCUGAGAGGAAGGUCCCCCACACUGGCACUGAGAUACGGGCCAGACUCCUACGGGAGGCAGCAGUAGGGAAUAUUGGGCAAUGGUCGAAAGACUGACCCAGCCAUGCCGCGUGAAGGAAGAAGGUUCUCGUUAACUGUAAACUUCUUUAGCAGGGGAAGAAAAAGGAUGUGCGCAUCCAACUGACGGUACCCUGAGAAUAAGCACCGGCUAACUCCGUGCCAGCAGCCGCGGUAAUACGGGGGGUGCAAGCGUUGUCCGGAUUUAUUGGGUUUAAAGGGUGCGUAGGCGGACUGAUAAGUCGGUAUUCAAAGACGGCAG